rnacentral:tRNA from 1 species
GGUGCACGUUGCGCCGGGCGUUGCCGGGCGUGCCGUCCUCGGCGGCCGGGCGGCGGCGGUGCCAGAGGCCGCGCAGGCGCUGC